rnacentral:rRNA from 1 species
GAUGAACGCUGGCGGCGUGCCUAAUACAUGCAAGUCGAGCGAACAGACGAGGAGCUUGCUCCGCUCACGUUAGCCGCGGACGGGUGAGUAACACGUGGAUAACCUACCUAUAAGUCUGGGAUAACUUCGGGAAACCGGAUCUAAUACCGGAUAAUAUAUUGAACCGUAUUGGUCGAUAGUGAAAGACGGCUUUGCUGUAUCGUAUAGAUGGAUCUGGGCCGCAUGAGCUGGUUGGUAAGUUAACGGCUUACCACGGCAACGAUGCGUAGCCGACCGCAUGGGGGGGUAGCCGACAUGGGAAGUGAGCCAGGGACCAGGCGACUACGGGAGGGAGCAGUAGGGAAUCGGCCGCAAUGGGCGAAAACAUGACGGAGCAACGCCGCGCGAGUGAUGAAAGUCUUCGGAGCGGAAAACUCUGUUAUGAGGGAAGAACAAAUGUGUAAGUAAAUAUGCACGUCUUGACGGUACCUAAUCAGAAAGCCACGGCUAACUACGUG